GGGCCUGUAGUUUAAUGGUAAAAUACUGUCCUGCGAAGAUAGAGAUGCGGGUUCGAAUCCCGUCGGGUCCACCA
rnacentral:tRNA from 1 species